CCAAAAACAGAUAUAUGAUUUCUUUAGUGUGCAUUUAAGUCAGGGGACAAGACAUGUUGUGCAUUCAUGAUAUAUCACAUGAUAAAAACUCUUUUUUAAAUACUCUAUUUUUCACUGUACAUAACAAGACUGUCACAGUCAAAUACAACAUGAUGUACAUAAUUUAUGCCUUUAAGAAAUUAAAUAGGGUAUUCCCAUUAACAUGAUUUUGCCUAAGAGACAAGAGAACAUUGAAUAGAUAUAUGUAACUAGUUUUUAUUAUUUAGUUGAUAU
rnacentral:lncRNA from 1 species